rnacentral:lncRNA from 1 species
AGUGAGCAUGAACGAGCGAAAUAAAUAAAUAGAUGCCAUGCUGAUCCCAAAAGAAGGAAGGUGUGACGUGAGAUCCCACCUGGGAUUGGGAUGCUUCUGCCAAACUCAGGUUGAGAUGAGUGUACAGAUGAGUCACACUUGAAAUAUACAGAGAUGAGCUAUAUCUGAAAUGUACAUGGAUGAGCUAUACUUGAAAUGUACAUGGAUUGGCAGCUAUACCUGAAAUGUACACAGAUGAGCUAUACUUGAAAUAUACACAGAGGAGCUAUACCAGAAAUGUACAUAGAUGAGCUGCACUCCUCUGUGAACUGUGCAAGGAACCCUAGCCCGCCUUCAUCCUCCGCAUCUCCCCUGGGGCUUCAGGAGACUUGUCACCACAGUUCACACCAGCUUCCUCCUGCCCCAGCUCUCCCACCGCAUCUCCAGUCU